GAAAACGCUGUGAGAAAGUUGAGUAAUGUUUUACGAUUCUAAAGCGAGCUUCGUUUGGUGAGAGGAAGCAGAACGAUAAACGUGAAAAUCCCUUUCGAGCGAUGUACCGAAGACAAAGUAACGUGCAUUGGUGACACCCAUUAUCGUGUUAGCGUAUCGCUUUUUUAGCCGUACGUGAAAGGCAGCUUUAGUGAUAGAGCUGCAAACAUAAGGUGGUACCGUGCCAUAAGCACCCUUAAU
rnacentral:ncRNA from 1 species